UUCCUCUGUGAAUAGAUUGAUUCUUUCUCUCAAUCCGCUAGUACUUGGUACAUCAUCAGUUUUUAUUAAAUUUGACUUGCUUUUAAAUGCUCAGCAUUAGAUUGCCUUUGCUGUAGUAUCAGCAUUUCUAACUGCCGCAAAUAAUUGCACGCACGUGGUCGAAGGCCGGUUUCUACAAUGGAAGCCGCAUCAGCUGCCGCAAAUAGUUGCACGCACGUGGUCGGAGGCCGGUUUAUACAAUGGAAGACACUCGGUUGCAGGACACUCGCUCUGGCCCAAGGCUAAGGAAUUCAAUUUGAUGAUGAAUUUCACUGAGAUCCAUUGAAACUGGCGCCGAUUAUGAGCCUGCUUUACUACAAAUGAAACAAGAUGUUCGCAUUGAUCAAGGAGUUUCUUCAAUGAGGCUCCAAUCCGCUGGACAAAGAGAUUCCAGUUAGUGUAUCUUUGACGCCAGGAAGUGCCGUGAUGCAAGUCCUACUUCAAAUCUGCAUCGAGUUGCCGGAUAUUCAUUGCACUGUUGAUCUUCGCUUUUAUGGACAAAUCCAAAGCUUUGAGUUUUGACUGCUUUUGCUGUCGAGAUGCAGCAACCGAAUCGAAGUCUUCAAAAGGUGACUUUCUGCUUUCAGUGGUUGCUGUUUACGUCCAGAGAAACUUCACAGAGAGAUGCGCUGUGAACGGACCACGAUUAUAAAAUUAAUUUAUAUAGUUUAAAAUUCUGCUGAAUAAAAAGAAUGAAACCAAA
rnacentral:sRNA from 1 species